rnacentral:tRNA from 1 species
GGCCCUUUAGCUCAGAGGUUAGAGCAGGCGACUCAUAAUCGCUUGGUCGCUGGUUCAAGUCCAGCAAGGGCCACCA